CUAUUCCCGGAAAGGGGGAAACGAUUUGGGGUGGGCAGUCCUGGAGCCUCUCGCUGGCCUUACGGAGAGAGAGCUAGGGUGGAGGAGAGCCCUGGGGAGCAGGCAGAGGACAUUCUCUCUGGGACCCCUGAGCCCAUCUAACCUCCAGUCCGUCCAUCAACUGAUUACUGCUCAGUCACCUCAGACGAUGCCACUGGGAGCCAGAGAACUGCCUCGCUGAGCCCUGCCUGAAUGCCUGACUCAUAACUCAUGGUGUCAGUGAAAGUGAAUACCCAGCCACACCCAGCUGAAAUACCCAAAGUUGGAAAACACCACAAGAAAGCCAUGACAAAAACCAACCAAGCCAACAAGAGAGUCAUGUCCUCAGAGCCGAACUUCUCGUGUUCUCCUUCAUGCCCCCCCCCAUCCCCGUCUGCCAGCAUUGCCUCCAUGCCUGUGUUCUCUCCAUAUGUGAUCUCACAGCUCCAGAGACCCCCAGCGACGGAGAUUGUCAUCUGCUUGUCUUUAGUCCCGUCUCUUAUCAGAGCUUCAGAUCCUACAUCCAGUUGCUGUCUGAACAUCUUCACUUGGGAUCCCUGGAGGCACCUGGAAUUAGAGUGCCUGAGACCAAGUGGGCCCUUGGGAGUUUCAGCCUGGCACACACAUGAGAGCAUCUGCAGAAGCACUGGUGUAUUUUAAUUGUUUCUCUCCUCUCUCUCUGCCUCCCCUCAUUAGACAGAACAGAUCAUAUGCAUUGGUUUUGAGUUUCUUUAUCUUCAACAAGGGGGUUACAGUCUCCUUCUUCAGUUCUUCCUGGUGUCUCCAGAGAAGUGGCUCUCAAACUGGAGCAUGCACCAGAAUCACCUAGAAGGUGCUGAAACACAAAUUGGUGGGCAUCACCCCAGGUCUCAGGUUCAGCAGAUCUGGGCUGGGUCCUGAGAAUUGGAAUGUCUAAUAGAUUUCCAGUUCUGGGGACCACACUUUGAGAACCACCAUUUUUUGAGGAUCAGAUCAAACACUUGAAGAAAGAACUUCCCUCAGCUUAGAGCUAAAUAGAACAUUUGCAUGGACUUCCCCGGCCCCCUUAAGUUCUCUUGAGGCCCCUGCAGGCCUCUAAGGAGUAUCAGCCAUAGAACAUCCAUCCUGGGUGAGGAUGGGCCCAGCAUUCGAUAUCUCUCAGCUUAACAGGAAAAGAGAGAAGAUGGCAGAACAAAUCAUCAAACGAUCAAUUUAUAAUCGCCUAGGAGAGCAGCAGCUACACCGUAGCAAUCAAUACUCAAUGCAGACGUGACGAUUGAGAGAAUGAUUGAUCUCCCUUCAUCAGGACCAGCUCCCCUUGCAGCAGGGAGGGGCCCUUGUCCUCCAGGGGCAUAACUGAGAGCCCUCCAACUCUGCAUGCACUUCCUGAGCUCCAAAUGCACCAGGCACUGUGCUGAGUGCCAAGGUCAGAGACGACAGAGUCUGUCUUUGUCCCAGGCAUCUGGGGAGAGGUCAACAGACAUUCCACGUGGUGGGUGCUGAAAGGCUGCACUUGUCCUGAGCACCAAGUGUGUGCCAGGCCCUUAUUCACAGCCAUUUCCUCACCUGUGUUUGCAGAAGCCUGUGAAGGGGGUGCCUUUAUCCGCAUUUUGUAGGUGAGGAACUGAGCAGGCCACACGUUUCUGGCCAGCGCAGGGGAUACAAGUGCUGUCUAUAAAGAACUUACAGUUUAUUUAAAGACGCAAAUCUAUGACACAGAGUAAAAUAAUUGCCCGAGGUUUGCCUGGACUGGACAGGCCAGCCUCGGAGCACUCCCAGCCUGGCUGAAGUUGAGUCCCUGGAUUGAGGGGAACGGCGCAGUGGAGCACCCGCCCUGGGAAUGGGUGGGAGCCUUGCAGCGAGCAGGGCAGGGCGGACACCGCACCUGGCAUUCAGAAGGCACAUGAUCACUCAAAGUGCGGAGGAAUGUACUCACCUGUGAAGAGAAAUGGACAGCUGGCAUCUAAAUGGAAAUGUCCAACUGGGGUAUUGGCAGAAACAACUGCAGCUGAUCCAUUUUCUUGUGAGAAAAUUAGCAGGGUUCCCACCAGACAUGAUGAAUACAUCAAUUACAGCAGUCGGCCCUUAUCCAGGGGGGAUACGUUCCAAGACCCCGGUGGAAGCCUGAAACCACGGAUUGUACUGAACCCUAUAUUCACUGUUUUUCUAUGCACACACACCUAUGAUAAACCUUAAUUAAAGUAAAUUAGGGAUAAUAAAUGAAAACAAUAAUAAUAAAAUAUGACA
rnacentral:lncRNA from 1 species